GGUCACAUAUGAAUGGGUGAAAGGAUGGAGAAGGUGGAAGGGAAUAAGCAAAAAAAAAAAAAAAAAACCCUAUCUACACCUUAUACCCCCCCACAGCUUGCUAUCUAAUACUACAGCUGUGGGGGGUGGGGGGGAGGGGGGCAUAAGGUGUAGAUAGGGUUUUUUUUUUUGCUUAUUCCCUUCCACCUUCUCCAUCCUUUCACCCAUGCACUAUUAUCUGG
rnacentral:miRNA from 1 species